rnacentral:lncRNA from 1 species
GUUGUUUCCUCUCUUUUUUUCCCUCUCCUGCAUGGUGAGUGGUGGAUCCUGUGUUGUAGGUGGUGGGGGCUCGGCAUGAUGGUGGCUCCCUGAAAUUUUGACUGAAACCAACUAGCUUACAAUGUGCUGCCCAUAAUUCAUUCUGUUUUAUGAGAGUAUAAUGUUUUACCAUCUAGCUAAUUGAGCGCCUGGUAGCUGAUACAUUUUUUACUGAGCAAAUUGAUGACAUCAUCCACUUCUUCAAAUGCUUAUUAUCUCUGAAACUUGUGAACUAAUUUAUAUUUUCAACCUUGUGCUAGAAUUAAUACUGAAAGCAACCUUCGUUCGCUCUCUCAAAUAAACUGCUCCUUAACUCUUGUAUAGUAAAAACUAAUCAGUAGCAGGCUAGCAGCAGCACUAGUAUAGUAAAAGUCAAUCAGUAGCACUAGCACCGUAUACAUGUUUAUUGUCUUGCUCUACUGUAGUGCUGCUCAGUCUGCUAUCAUAUAAUGUAAUAAUCAUGUACAUAAAUUAUCAGUAUAGUUCUUGGUGAUAUAUUAGAGCUGACCGUAUACAUGUUCAUUAGAUGUUUGCUUUGGUUUUACUUGACAUUCAACUAGACAGACAGAACCAAAAUCCUCUCUAUACACUAUAAGUAAGCAGUUGCAAUUAUAUUAGAAUAUUUCCUUAGGAGCAGUUAAAUCACUAGCCUAGUUUUGAAGGGCUAUUUUGAACUUGUGUACUUGUGUAUGUGUUUUUAUAUGUGGUUAUUACUGUAAAUUACUAAUUGAAAGGAAUUACAAGCAAUUACAUGUGUGAACAAAAUUGCAUUGUGUUUUUAUAUUGUUAGAAUCGGAGGUAAUAAGCUUAGGCUACUGUUAGCUGCGUUUUACAUUAGAAAAGGUGGUUUUCAUUUUUUUCACAACUCUUAGCUAUAUGGACUUAGUGGAUUGGAGUGAUAAACUUAGGCUACUGUUGUUUGAGUUAAGGCAGCAAGUAAUUUAUCUAUGAAACAAUCCUGCCAGAUAAAUUUAUGUGGUGUUGGGUGCCUGGGCAUGCUCUCUACAAGCUGCUAUUCGGUGCAAACCAGCACCUGCAGCUUUAGCCGCUCUUGAUUUCUUGCUUGAGCUGGGUCUCGACUCUAUUACAACAACAAAGGCAGCAGUUGUUCUUGAUUUUUGAUAAGCUUAGGCUACUGUUAGCUGCGUUUUACAUUAGAAAAGGUGGUUUUUAUUUUUUCACAACUCUUAGCUAUAUGGACUUAGUGGACUGGAGUGAUAAACUUAGGCUACAGUUGUUUGAGUUAAGGCAGCAAGUAAUUUAUCUAUGAAACAAUCCUGCCAGAUAAUCUGGUGUUGGGUGCCUGGGCAUGCUCUCUACAAGCUGCUAUUUGGUGCAAACCAGCACCUGCAGCUUUAGCCGCUCUUGAUUUCUUGCUUAUGCUGGGUCUCGACUCUAUUACAACAACAAAGGCAGCAGCUGUUCUUGAUUUUUCUGUAGACAGCUCUGUAGUUGUUUCUUCUCUAGUGCAUGCCUGGAUUUUGCUCUGAAUUUGUUUUAGUGCAGCUGGUCCGCCUAUUGUUAGUGAGCAGCAAUUUGUUCUGGCAGCUGGCAGCCUUGAUUUUCAUAUCAACAACAAAAGCUAUUCUUUUACAACAAUAGCUGUAGCUAUCUACUUUCUCGACCUUGAUCAACUCUACAACUACAGGAACUGUAGUUUUCUGUGUUAAAUCUUCAUCAGUGAUUACUAUUGCUGCUAUCUGUUUACUCAGUUUCAAAAACUUGUUAAAUAUGCAGUUCCACAAAUAUGCAGUUUAGUGUGUUCAUGAUAGGAGACAUUUAGAGUUUCCUGAAUUUCAUGUGCCUAAUACAUGAUUGUUUUAUUUUUCAGAAAG